rnacentral:rRNA from 1 species
UACGAAGGGGGCGAGCGUUGUCCGGAUUUAUUGGGCGUAAAGAGCGUGUAGGCGGCCAGGUAGGUCCGUUGUGAAAACUCGAGGCUCAACCUCGAGACGUCGAUGGAAACCAUCUGGCUAGAGUCCGGAAGAGGAGAGUGGAAUUCCUGGUGUAGCGGUGAAAUGCGCAGAUAUCAGGAAGAACACCUAUGGCGAAGGCAGCUCUCUGGGACGGUACUGACGCUGAGACGCGAAAGCGUGGGGAGCGAACAGG